rnacentral:rRNA from 1 species
UACGUAGGGUGCAAGCGUUAAUCGGAAUUACUGGGCGUAAAGCGUGCGCAGGCGGUUAUGCAAGACAGAUGUGAAAUCCCCGGGCUCAACCUGGGAACUGCAUUUGUGACUGCAUGGCUGGAGUGCGGCAGAGGGGGGGUGGAAUUCCACGUGUAGCAGUGAAAUGCGUAGAGAUGUGGAGGAACACCGAUGGCGAAGGCAGCCCCCCUGGGCUAACACUGACGCCUCAUGCACGAAAGCGUGGGGAGCAAACAGG